rnacentral:rRNA from 1 species
AGUGAACGCUGGCGGUAGGCCUAACACAUGCAAGUCGAACGGCAGCACAGGAGAGCUUGCUCUCUGGGUGGCGAGUGGCGGACGGGUGAGGAAUACAUCGGAAUCUACUUUUUCGUGGGGGAUAACGUAGGGAAACUUACGCUAAUACCGCAUACGACCUACGGGUGAAAGCAGGGGACCUUCGGGCCUUGCGCGAUUGAAUGAGCCGAUGUCGGAUUAGCUAGUUGGCGGGGUAAAGGCCCACCAAGGCGACGAUCCGUAGCUGGUCUGAGAGGAUGAUCAGCCACACUGGAACUGAGACACGGUCCAGACUCCUACGGGAGGCAGCAGUGGGGAAUAUUGGACAAUGGGCGCAAGCCUGAUCCAGCCAUACCGCGUGGGUGAAGAAGGCCUUCGGGUUGUAAAGCUCUUUUGUUGGGAAAGAAAUCCAGCUGGCUAAUACCCGGUUGGGAUGACGGUACCCAAAGAAUAAGCACCGGCUAACUUCGUGCCAGCAGCCGCGGUAA